rnacentral:tRNA from 1 species
GGGGCCGUAGCUCAGACUGGGAGAGCGCAUGAAUCGCACUCAUGAGGUCGCGGGUUCAAAUCCCGUCGGCUCCACCA